rfam:Rhizobium gallicum bv. gallicum R602, complete genome.
CCAGUUGGCCGGGCAGCCGCGCUUUACCAAUGUCGAAAGGCGGUAAGGUGAGGAAAGUCCGGGCUCCACGGAAAUACGGUGCCGGAUAACGUCCGGCGAGGGCGACCUCAGGGAAAGUGCCACAGAAAGCAAACCGCCUGCGCUUGCGCAGGUAAGGGUGAAAGGGUGGGGUAAGAGCCCACCGCGUCUCCGGCAACGGCGACGGCACGGUAAACCCCACCGGGAGCAAGACCGAAUAGGGAUGACGUGGCGGGCGAAAGCCCGUCGGCCGGUUUCCGGGUCAGUCAUCCGGGUGGGUUGCGUGAGGCAGCGUGCAAGCGCUGUCCCAGAGGAAUGGCUGCCACGUUCCGGUUUCGGCCGGAGCCAUACAGAACCCGGCUUACAGGCCAACUGGCGAU